GUGGCUUUGCUCUGAAGUGACUGUAGAAAUAAGAUUCAGUGUCUUCUCUCAAAGUGGUGCUAAUACUGGGAACAGCAGAAGACACACACUGAGAGAAAGUAUCAAUACCUGGAUAUUCACCCAGCCUGGAACCCUUAAGAGAAAGAAGCUUACUAAGUAGUCCCUUGCAUUAAAAAAAAAAGUCAUAAUCAUCCUAAGCAGUAUAAAAAAGUAAAGGAACAAACCACUCCAAAUAGCCUAUAACACUUCAACAACUGACUCCAUUGACAUCAGAGUGAAUGAAAUGUCAGAGAAAGAAUUUUAAAAGUUCAUAGUUAAAAUAUUCAACAAGUUAAAAGAAGAUGCAAGAAAUGAACUUAGAAAAUACAAGAAGUGAAAGACCAUUUCAAUAAAACGAUAGAAAUUCUGAAAAAGAAACAAACAAAUCCUGUAAAUGAAGGAAUCAAUAAAUCAAAUUAAGAAUUCAAUGGAAAGCAUCACCAAUAGCUUAAAUCACUUUGAAGAUAGAUGUUCAGGCCUUGAAGACAAAGUAUAUAAUCUUGAAAAUAAAGUUGAUGUUUUAGUCAGCUUUUUGGCCACUGUGACCAAAAUAUCUGACAAGAAAUGUAGAGAAGGAAAAGUUUAUUUUUGGCUCACGGUUUCAGAGGUUUAGUCCAUGGUCAGCUGACUCCAUCGGUAGCUCUGGGAACAAGGCAAUGCAGAAUGUCAUGGCAGAAGGAUGUGGCAGAGGGAAGCUCAGGACAUGGCAACUACGAUGCAGAGAGCUCCACUUACCAGGGACAAAAUACAAACCCCAAAGGCACACCCUCAGUGACUCUUUCCUCCAUCCACACCCUACCUGCCUUUGGUUAUCAUCCAUUCAAUACAUAACAGUGGAUUAAUCCACUGGUAGGUUACAACUCACAUCAUCUAAUUAUUUCACUCUGAGCAUCCUUGCAUGUCUCACACAUGAGCUUUCAAGGAACAACUCAUAUCUAAACCAUAACUGUCGACAAUAAAGAAAAGAUGUGAAGAGAUCAUGACUAGAAAUAUUCAAGAAAUCUGGGAUGACAUUAAGAGACCAAAUUAAAAAAUCCUUGGGGUAGAAGAAGGCUCUGAAAUACAAACUAAAGGAAUGCACAAUCUCUUCAAUGAAAUAAUGUUAGAAAACUUUCCAAAUCUUAGUAACAAGAUGGAGAUUCAGAUAUAAGAAUUCAUAACCACUAGGCUGGGGCUAUGGCUCAGCAGUAGAGCACUUGCCUAGCACGUGGGUUCGAUCC
rnacentral:lncRNA from 1 species